CCUACGGGGGGCAGCAGUGAGGACUAUUGGUCAAUGGGCGUAAGCCUGAACCAGCCAAGUCGCGUGAGGGAUGAAGGUUCUAUGGAUCGUAAACCUCUUUUAUAAGGGAAUAAAGUGUGGGACGUGUCCUAUUUUGUAUGUACCUUAUGAAUAAGGAUCGGCUAACUCCGUGCCCGCCGCCGCGGUAAUACGGAGGAUCCGAGCGUUAUCCGGAUUUAUUGGGUUUAAAGGGUGCGUAGGCGGACUUUUACAUCAGCGGGGAAAGUAUGUGGCCCAACCAUAGAAUUGCCGUUGAAACUGGGGGGCUUGAGUAUGUUUGAGGCAGGCGGAAUGCGUGGUGUAGCGGUGAAAUGCUUAGAGAUCACGCAGAACCCCGAUUGCGAAGGCAGCCUGCCAAGCCAUGACUGACGCUGAUGCACGAAAGCGUGGGGAUCAAACAGGAUUAGAUACCCUUGUAGUC
rnacentral:rRNA from 1 species